GUUGAGCGAGAUAAGAUGGCUAUCCAGGUACUCCUGAAGUGGGACGAUUGCAUCGGUCGUUGGCAGCGUAUCAGGUGACCACGCCAAGUGGAAAAUACACUUUUUCAGAGGCGCUUGCAUCUAUCGGGCGUGAUAAAAAUUAUUGGUCUUACAAUGGAUGUCUCUUUUUAAAUCAAUAAAAAGUACAGAAUGAAAUUGUUCUAAAUUAAGUUUUCCAUCAAUCGAUCGAUAACAAUGCGUGGUUUGUUCUGAGAUGGAUGGAAAUUUUUCACUAAAUUUUUUGUGGCAUAGUUUCACUCACUCUGACUGCUAUCUUGCUGACUAUAAGCAUUGAGUACGUGUCGUACUGGUUGAACACGGGAUCGAGUAGAGAGGUGACGUCGGCCCGACACUGAUCCGCGGUGGCCUCGCCUGUUGCCUCUACCGCGG